rnacentral:rRNA from 1 species
UACGUAGGGGGCUAGCGUUGUCCGGAAUCAUUGGGCGUAAAGAGCGUGUAGGCGGCCCGGUAAGUCCGCUGUGAAAGUCGGGGGCUCAACCCUCGAAUGCCGGUGGAUACUGUCGGGCUAGAGUGCGGAAGAGGCGAGUGGAAUUCCUGGUGUAGCGGUGAAAUGCGCAGAUAUCAGGAGGAACACCAGUAGUCGCGAAGGCAGCUCGCUGGGACGUAACUGACGCUGAGACGCGAAAGCGUGGGGAGCAAACAGG